AGUUCCUCGGAAAAGAUAAAUCGAAAUUUAUUUACACAGUAUACAUGUACGUUGAGUGAGUGCUAUCGGGGCUGCGGAGACAAGUUGAUAAGAUCUGUGAAAUAUCUGUAGUAUACAUUAUAUUUAUACUGAGACGCGAUAAGAGAGAAUAAAAGGGGAAGAAAGACGCUCUUGGCCAAAAAAUACAUGCCCGUAAGCCUCGGUGGCGCUCGUUACUCAGCCGUUGGUAAACAAAGCCGAUCGUAAAACUCCGGGGGUCUAUGACUACACGCGGCGGCGGACCGUCGGGAGCAGAUACUCGGCUAACAAUGAGCGUUUGCAAAGGCUGCCACGCGAUGACUGAGCACGUGUGGGACUGGGGACAAUUGAUAUACAUAUAUGUAGUCCGAAGUCUGUCCUACGUCGCGCGUUGUUACAUCGCCACCCGGUAAUAGAGAGCAAAUUUGUUUAAGUUGAUUGCUGCGCGGUUCACUGUACAGACAAUGAGAAAAUUUAAAUAUACACGUCCAUUAUUAUCCGUAUCUUAAUUAUUAUUACUUUUUUUCAUCUUUGAUAUUUGUCUUACAACAAAAUUGAGUGUAUCGUUCGUGAUGUUAUCUCUCGCACUUUGAUGAACAAGUAUUUCGUAGAACACAUAAGGUAUACCGCAAUGCAUCGCGCAUAUCAGUUCGCUGUUUCACUGUUAUUUGUAAUGUAAUAUUUUCUGGUUUUAUUUAUUCUUCUUGUUGUACACCUUCGGAUGCACCAACAAUGCUUAUGUUUUCAAGAACAAUAAAACGGCGACGCCCCUGUUUUUUC